GGGAUUGCCUUAGUAACGGCGAGUGAAGCGGCAACAGCUCAAAUUUGAAAGCUGGCCCUUUCAGGGUCCGCGUUGUAAUUUGUAGAGGAUGAUUCGGCGAGGGCUCCCGCCUAAGUCCCCUGGAACGGGGCGUCAUAGAGGGUGAGAAUCCCGUAUGCGGUGGGCUGCCUUAGCCAUGUGAAUCUCCUUCGACGAGUCGAGUUGUUUGGGAAUGCAGCUCUAAAUGGGAGGUAAAUUUCUUCUAAAGCUAAAUACCGGCCAGAGACCGAUAGCGCACAAGUAGAGUGAUCGAAAGAUGAAAAGCACUUUGGAAAGAGAGUUAAAAAGUACGUGAAAUUGUUGAAAGGGAAGCGCUUGCAACCAGACUUGUCCGCAGUUGCUCAGCCGGUCUCCUGACCGGCGUACUCUUCUGCGGCCAGGCCAGCAUCAGUUCGGGCGGUCGGAUAAAGACCUCGGGAAUGUAGCUCCUCUCGGGGAGUGUUAUAGCCCGGGGUGGAAUGCGGCCAGCCUGGACUGAGGAUCUCGCUUCGGCAAGGAUGCUGGCGUAAUGGUUGUAAGCGGCCCGUCUUGAAACACGGACCAAGGAGUCUAACAUCUAUGCGAGUGUUUGGGUGUCAAACCCAUACGCGUAAUGAAAGUGAACGGAGGUGGGAACCCGUAAGGGCGCACCAUCGGCCGAUCCUGAUGUCUUCGGAUGGAUUUGAGCAAGAGCAUAGCUGUUGGGACCCGAAAGAUGGUGAACUAUGCCUGAAUAGGGUGAAGCCAGAGGAAACUCUGGUGGAGGCUCGCAGCGGUUCUGACGUGCAAAUCGAUCGUCAAAUUUGGGGUAUAGGGGCGAAUGACUAAUCGAACCAUCUCGUAGCU
rnacentral:rRNA from 1 species